rnacentral:piRNA from 1 species
UGCUAAUGCUGGAGUUUUUCAUGCUUCUC